CACUAAAUAACACGUGUAUCGGUUUUUUUAUAAGUGUGCAUCACAUUUUGCAUUUUACUUCGAAUAGAUAGAAAAAAUGUUACAGUCAUUCUUUAAAAUUUAAUUUUAAUCCAUUCUUUAAUGAGUAAAUCAUAAAGACAAGGUUUAUGACGUCACAGUCAUUUGACAAAAUUAUGUGUAUGAACUCAUAGACAAAACACUUUCACCCAAUUAGAAGUCGCAUUACAUCAAAAAUUGAACUAUUUUUGGAUAGUAUCGGUCCUCCAACAUAAAACUUACUCUCAUGUGAUGAUUUGUUAUACAAUAACCCCUUGAAAUUCAGUCUGUUAUAGGAAGUAUAUUUGGUAUAACGGGUCAACAUUAUUGGUUCGGUCUUGCUGCUGACGAAGUUUUCUAAUAUUUGUUCCUCCUUUUUAUGUAAUACACAUAUGUAAUAGUAUUUCAAAAAUAAGAGCUGUAAUAGGAAUAUAAGUGAAUACCUCUUUGUCAAGGUCAAUACAUUUAAGUUGUGCUUGCUUCAACAGACCAGGAGAAUGUACGAUAUGAAAAAUAUGAUUUACUGAUGCAAAACUGCUUUAUUUUACUUUUGAAACCGUGAAAAUAAUUGACAAUAUCAGUCAAGUGAUUGUAUUAUUAUUUUUUUUUUCAUUUUUAAAUUUAACUUUAUAAUAUAUGUACAAUCGCGUGUUCAGUAUGCACAGAUUAAUUGACAAUAUCUUUGUUUAGCUAUGAACGCUCCUUUUGAAACUUGAUGAAACGAAGCAUUGCAUGUACAUAAAACAAUCUGACUUAAAGAUAUGUUACAGUAUCCUGAUUAAAAUGAAGAUAAUAAAAACAAUUGUAAUUAUUCAACAUAUCUAAAAAUAUCAAAUAAAUUUCUUGAAUAGAUUUGAAACAUGUUGAAUGCACCGACCGAUUAUAAUUUACAUUCGUGUUUUAUUUUACACGAUGUGUUGAUUAGUAGGGGUUAGGAAAUAAGGUAAUAAGCCAUCACGAAUGGUUAAUCAUAUCAGUGUCUCGGUUUCUCAAUAUACAAUAAACAAUUCACUAUCUUCAUAUGGCAUCAUUUGUAUUUUUCAGUGUUCUUAGUUGAAGGUCAACUUUAAAUAGUUAGGUAAUAAAAUAUUGCAGGCUACAAUUUUUUCACAAAAACAAAAUGAAAAAACCCUAAAAAUCCAGCAAGAAUGACAUGAAAAAAAAAGAAAGAAAAAAAAGAAAACACCAAAUAAAUAACAAAAAUAACGUAUAAAUGUCUUACACCA
rnacentral:lncRNA from 1 species